UCAUGGAAACAACUUUGAGCGAAGAAAAAAAUCACAUACUAAAUCUGGUCGUUUCAAUGGAAUUUCAAUCUCGUCGUUUCAAUGAUAAUCAAACAACAGUUGAUUCAUCUUUGAAAUACCUAAAUAAUCGUCGUCAAUUCCUUUUCUUUAGCAUUAACUCCAAAUCGAUAAUUAUUAGAAAAUCAAUUUGAAUAUUUCAUCAUUUGGAAGCGAUUUGAAAAAUGAGAACCUGUUCUUAUCAUUUAAUUUGAAUUUACCGAGCACGGAUCUAAUGCGUUUGGAGAAGAUGUCAUUUGUUCCGCUUAUAUUUCCGUCAGAUCUGCUCAUAGGACUGGUUCUUAUCUAUGAAAUAUUGACUCCUCAAUUCAUGACAUGCAUGAAUCAGUUGGCCGCAGCUAAUGAAGAUUGUUGAACAUGGAUACUACACAUAGAUGAUUACCUUUUGCUUAAUCUAUUUAUAAAUGGUGGAUAUCACUAGCGUUAUCUGCUAAACUUACCUCUGCAAAUCUGGAUGUUAUCUUACUGGAGCUUGGCGUGGUUGGUAUUUUUCUCAGUCUGUGCAGAUUAGGGUGGCAGUUUGGCUAUCAUAGACUCUGGAUUUUUUGGAUCUUUGAGGCGGUGUACAUAAUUGUACACACCAAUGUAAAUUAA